UGCCCCCUUUCUUUUUUUUAAAAAUAUUUUUGGAUUACCUUGCCUCAAGGCUUGGGGAUAACACUUUUGUAAACAGAUGCUAAUACCGAAUAAAACUUAUUAUCGCAUGAUAUCAAGUUAAAAGGCGCUACGGCGUCACCUAGAGAUGGAUCCGCGGUGCAUUAGUUAGUUGGUGGGGUAAAGGCUUACCAAGACAAUGAUGCAUAGCCGAGUUGAGAGACUGAUCGGCCACAUUGGGACUGAGACACGGCCCAAACUCCUACGGGAGGCUGCAGUAGGGAAUCUUCCACAAUGGGCGCAAGCCUGAUGGAGCAACGCCGCGUGUGUGAUGAAGGCUUUCGGGUCGUAAAGCACUGUUGUAUGGGAAGAAAUGCUAAAAUAGGGAAUGAUUUUAGUUUGACGGUACCAUACCAGAAAGGGACGGCUAAAUACGUGCCAGCAGCCGCGGUAAUACGUAUGUCCCGAGCGUUAUCCGGAUUUAUUGGGCGUAAAGCGAGCGCAGACGGUUGAUUAAGUCUGAUGUGAAAGCCCGGAGCUCAACUCCGGAAUGGCAUUGGAAACUGGUUAACUUGAGUGUUGUAGAGGUAAGUGGAACUCCAUGUGUAGCGGUGGAAUGCGUAGAUAUAUGGAAGAACACCAGUGGCGAAGGCGGCUUACUGGACAACAACUGACGUUGAGGCUCGAAAGUGUGGGUAGCAAACAGGAUUAGAUACCCUGGUAGUCCACACCGUAAACGAUGAAUACUAGGUGUUAGGAGGUUUCCGCCUCUUUAGUGCCGAAGCUAACGCAUUAAGUAUUCCGCCUGGGGAGUACGACCGCAAGGUUGAAACUCAUAGGAAUUGACGGGGACCGCACAAGCGGUGGGAGCAUGUGGGUUAAUUCGUAGCAACGCGGAGAAACUUACCAGGUCUUGACAUCCUUUGAAGCUUUUAGAGAUAGAAGUGUUCUCUUCGGAGACAAAGUGACAGGUGGUGCAUGGGUCGUCGUCAUCUCUGUCGUGAUGAGUUGGGUAAGUUCCCGCAACGAGCGCAACCCUUAUUGUUGUGUGCUCAGCAUUCAGUUGGGACCUUCUUACCGAGAACUGCUGGUGAAAAUCCGGA
rnacentral:rRNA from 1 species